rnacentral:sRNA from 1 species
GGUAUUCCUUAUCUCUAAUUCGUUGAUUUGUCUGGAACCUGUCCUACUGUAUUCUGCAUGCAAAACACAAUAAGACAGGUUCUGCGUUUAGUUGCCGCGCUCUAAAAAAAC